rnacentral:lncRNA from 1 species
AUGCUUAAAAUUCUCCAAGCCAGGCUUCAGCAAUACAUGAACCAUGAACUUCCAGAUGUUCAAGCGGGUUUUAGAAAAGGCAGAGGAACCAGAGAUCAAAUUGCCAACAUCCACUGGAUCAUCAGAAAAGCAAGAGAGUUCCAGAAAAACAUGUAUUUCUGCUUUAUUGACUAUGCCAAAGCUUUUGACUCUGUGGAUCACAAUAAACUGUGGAAAAUUCUGAGAGAGAUGGGAAUACUAGACCACCUGACCUGCCUCUUGAGAAACCUAUAUGCAGGUCAGGAAGCAACAGUUAGAACUCAACAUGGAACAACAGACUGUUUCCAAAUAGGAAAAGGAGUACGUCAAGACUGUAUAUUGUCACCCUGCUUAUUUAACUUAUAUGCAGAGUACGUCAUGAGAAACGCUGGGCUGGAAGAAGCACAAGCUGGAAUCAAGAUUGCUGGGAGAAAUAUCAAUAACCUCAGAUGUGCAGAUGACACCACCCUUAUGGCAAAAAGUGAAGAGGAACUAAAAAGCCUCUUAAUGAAAGUAAAAGAGGAGAGUGAAAAAGUUGGCUUAAAGCUCAACAUUCAGAAAAUGAAGAUCAUGGCAUCUGGUCCCAUCACUUCAUGGGAAAUAGAUGGGGAAACAGUGGAAACAGUGUCAGACUUUAUUUUGAGGGGCUCCAAAAUCACUGCAGAUGGUGAUUGCAGCCAUGAAAUUAAAAGAUGCUUACUCCUUGGAAGGAAAGUUGACCAACCUAUCAUGUUAAAAGGCAGAGACAUUACUUUGCCCACAAAGGUCCGUCUAGUCAAGGCUAUGGUUUUUCCAGUGGUCAUGUAUGGAUGUGAGAGUUGGACUGUGAAGAAAGCUGAGCACCGAAGAAUUGAUGCUUUUGAACUGUGGUGUUUGAGAAGACUCUUGAGAGUUCUUUGGACUGCAAGGAGAUCCAACCAGUCCAUUCUAAAGGAGAUCAGUCCCAGAUGUUCUUUGGAAGAACUGAUGCUGAAGCUGAAACUCCAGUACUUUGGCCACCUCAUGCGAAGAGUUGACUCAUUGGAAAAGACUCUGAUGCUCGGAGGGAUUGGGAGCAGGAGGAGAAGGGGACGACAGAGGAUGAGAUGGCUGGGUGGCAUCACCGACUUGAUGUACAUGAGUUUGAGUGAACUCCAGGAGUUGGUGAUGGACAGGGAGGCCUGGCGUGCUGGAUUCAUGGGCUCACAAAGAGUUGGACACGACUGA